AAAAGAAGAACAAUAAAGAAAGAGAAGACAGGGAAAGAAGGAGAAAUGUUUGGAGAUUGUGUGGUUUCUCAAGGACCAUUGUUUCGGUUUUUUGAUCUUUAUCUUGAUAUGAAUAAGCCUGGUUUGACUCGUGGUAAUAAGGGUACUCUUAAAAAGGUGGGGAGAAGGAUGGUCAAAUGCUUUCAGAAUGAAGACACUUAUUCUAUUUCUUAUCCUUUUAUGGGGCAGAAAGAAAGAG
rnacentral:ribozyme from 13 species